UUGCAGGCUGCAACCCGCCUGCAUGAAGCUGGAAUCGCUAGUAAUCGCGGAUCAGAAUGCCGCGGUGAAUACGUUCCCGGGCCUUGUACACACCGCCCGUCACACCAUGGGAGUUUGUAACGCCCAAAGUCGGUGGCCUAACCUUUAUGGAGGGAGCCGCCUAAGGCGGGACAGAUGACUGGGGUGAAGUCGUAACAAGGUACC
rnacentral:rRNA from 1 species